AACGCGAAGAACCUUACCAAGGCUUGACAUAUACUGGACCGCAUCAGAGAUGGUGUUUCCCUUCGGGGCUGGUAUACAGGUGGUGCAUGGUUGUCGUCAGCUCGUGUCGUGAGAUGUUGGGUUAAGUCCCGCAACGAGCGCAACCCUCGUUCUAUGUUGCCAGCAUGUUAUGGUGGGGACUCAUAGGGGACUGCCGGGGUCAACUCGGAGGAAGGUGGGGAUGACGUCAAAUCAUCAUGCCCCUUAUGUCUUGGGCUUCACGCAUGCUACAAUGGCCGGUACAGAGGGUUGCGAUACUGUGAGGUGGAGCUAAUCCCUAAAAGCCGGUCUCAGUUCGGAUUGGGGUCUGCAACUCGACCCCAUGAAGUCGGAGUCGCUAGUAAUCGCAGAUCAGCA
rnacentral:rRNA from 1 species